rnacentral:rRNA from 1 species
AUUGAACGCUGGCGGCAGGCCUAACACAUGCAAGUCGAGCGGUAGAGAGGUGCUUGCACCUCUUGAGAGCGGCGGACGGGUGAGUAAUGCCUAGGAAUCUGCCUGGUAGUGGGGGAUAACGCUCGGAAACGGACGCUAAUACCGCAUACGUCCUACGGGAGAAAGCAGGGGACCUUCGGGCCUUGCGCUAUCAGAUGAGCCCAGGUCGGAUUAGCUAGUUGGUGAGGUAAUGGCUCACCAAGGCGACGAUCCGUAACUGGUCUGAGAGGAUGAUCAGUCACACUGGAACUGAGACACGGUCCAGACUCCUACGGGAGGCAGCAGUGGGGAAUAUUGGACAAUGGGCGAAAGCCUGAUCCAGCCAUGCCGCGUGUGUGAAGAAGGUCUUCGGAUCGUAAAGCACUUUAAGUUGGGAGGAAGGGUCGUUACCUAAUACGUGACGAUUUUGACGUUACCGACAGAAUAAGCACCGGCUAACUCUGUGCCAGCCGCCGCGGUAA